GCUCCCUUAGCUCAGCUGGAUAGAGCAACUGCCUUCUAAGCAGUCGGCCGAUGGUUCGAAUCCAUCAGGGGGCG
rnacentral:tRNA from 2 species